ensembl:lncRNA
UCUCCGAGGCUCUGGUGGACAGCCGGUUGACCAAGGCCCAGUUGGCGCUGUACUGCAGGCGGAGGACCCGUGGAGAGGAGGCCACCAUCCGCCAGGUGGAGGCCCUGCUGCAGGAGCUGAUGGGGGACAAAGGCAGGGACCUGCUGGGUGUUCCCCUCCUGGACCGGGUGAGGAUGGAGCACAUCUGGCGGGUUCAGAAGAGGCACGUCAAGUGCAUCCAGGACCUGCCAGGUGUGCCUCUGUACACAAAGACCGGCACCACCACCACCAAGGACGGCGUCGUCCUCACCAAAUACAGGUGUGCGCGAGGUUCAACGUCACUGGAGUCCUUCCACUGCCACCUGAACCGCUUUAUUCCAGACCAACAUUAAUAUGGGUUCCACACAUGUUGAUGUACUUAUUCUGCUAAUCAAAAUGUUGUUUUCAUUCCCAGGAGAGUUGAUAGGCAUUGACUACCUCUACAUGCAGACGGGGAAGUGCAUGCAGGACAUGGAUCCUGAGGGGGAGGAGACGGAGCAGCUGCUGGAGGACCUGGGCGACGAGGCAGAGGAUGAGGGCUUCACAGACGACACCGAGGCUAGUCUGGAGCUCUUCUCUGCCCUCAUUUCACUACCACCUGCUCAGCCCUCCACCAGUGGUUCCUGGUCCGCUGCUCCACCUCCUCCUUCUCCACCACCGGCUCAGCCCUCCACCAGUGGUUCCUGGUCCGCUGCUCCACCUCCUCCUUCUCCACCACCACCGGCUCAGCCCUCCACCAGUGGUUCCUGGUCCGCUGCUCCACCUCCUCCUUCUCCUCCACCACCGGCUCAGCCCUCCACCAGUGGUUCCUGGUCCGCUGCUCCACCUCCUCCUUCUCCACCACCACCUCCACCUGCGUCAUCUGCUGUCACCGCUCCGGGUGCCGCCCCACAGGUUCCUGUUGAGCAGUUGGCAGUGGAUGAAAACAACAUCCCGG